CCUACGGGUGGCAGCAGUAGGGAAUAUUGCGCAAUGGGGGAAACCCUGACGCAGCAACGCCGCGUGGGGGAUGAAGGUUUUCGGAUCGUAAACUCCUUUUGUUAGAGAAGAUCAUGACUGUAUCUAACGAAUAAGCACCGGCUCACUCCGUUCCAGCAGCCGCGGUAAUACGGAGGGUGCAAGCGUUACUCGGAAUCACUGGUCGUAAAGAGCGCGUAGGCGGGAUAGCAAGUCAGAUGUGAAAUCCUAUGGCUUAAACAUGGAAAUGCAUUUGAAACUGUUAUUCUAGAGUAUGGGAGAGGUAGGUGGAAUUCUUGGUGUAGGGGUAAAAUCCGUAGAGAUCAAGAGGAAUACUCAUGGCGAAGGCGACUUGCUAGAACAUAACUGACGCUGAGGCGCGAAAGCGUGGGGAGCAAACAGGAUUAGAUACCCUUGUAGUC
rnacentral:rRNA from 1 species